rnacentral:rRNA from 1 species
CGUGUAGGCGGUUGGUCAAGUCUGGUGUGAAAGCCCGGGGCUUAGCCCCGGAAGUGCGCUGGAAACUAGCCAACUUGAGCGCGAUAGAGGAGGGUGGAAUUCCUGGUGUAGCGGUGAAAUGCGUAGAUAUCAGGAGGAACACCGGCGGCGAAGGCGGCCCUCUGGAUCGUUGCUGACGCUGAGACGCGAAAGCGUGGGGAGCAAACAGGAUUAGAUACCCUGGUAGUCCACGCUGUAAACGAUGGGUACUAGGUGUUCGGGGUGUUGACCCCCUGAGUGCCGACGCUAACGCAUUAAGUACCCCGCCUGGGGACUACGGCCGCAAGGCUAAA